AAAGUUUUAAGUUAAAUUCAUAAACUAAUAAUUUUCAAAAUUAUAAAUAAAUUCUAGUCAUUUAAGCUUUA
rnacentral:tRNA from 1 species